rnacentral:pre_miRNA from 8 species
GUGUAUCCUCAGCUUUGAGAACUGAAUUCCAUAGGUUGUGUCAGUGUCAGACCUGUGAAGUUUAGUUCUUUAGCUGGGAUAUCUCUA